rnacentral:RNase_P_RNA from 1 species
CAAGCAGGCCGGAUGGCCGCGGGCUGGCUGACGCCGGCCUGAGGAAAGUCCGAGCUCCACAGGGCAGGGUGCUGGGUAACACCCAGUGGGGGCGACCCCAAGGAAAGUGCAACAGAAAUCAAACCGCCGGCAUGAAUCAUCCGUCCGGUAAGGCUGAAACGGUGCGGUAAGAGCGCACCAGCAACCAGGCGACUGGUUGGCUAGGCAAACCCCACCUGGAGCAAGACCAAAUAGGAGGGAGAUAAAGUGGCCCGCUUUUCCCUCGGGUAUGGUCGCUGGAGGCGCCGGGUGACCGGCGUCCUAGAUAGAUGGUCAUCCUCGACAGAACUCGGCUUACAGACCUGCUUGUUCC